GCGCCGGUAGCUCAGUUGGUAGAGCGUCAGCCUUCCAAGCUGAAUGUCGAGAGUUCGAGCCUCUUCCGGCGCU
rnacentral:tRNA from 2 species